rnacentral:rRNA from 1 species
AACGUAGGAGACGAACGUUAUCCGGAGUUACUGGGCGUAAAGGGCGUGUAGGUGGUUUCGUAAGUCUGGCGUGAAAUUUCUCGGCUUAACCGAGGCAGGUCGUCGGAUACUGCGGAACUUGAGGACGGUAGAGGCGUGUGGAAUUCCGGGUGUAGUGGUGAAAUGCGUAGAGAUCCGGAGGAACACCAGUGGCGAAGGCGACACGCUGGGCCGUACCUGACACUGAUGCGCGACAGCAUGGGGAGCAAACAGG